CGCGCCAAUAUCAGUGGGUCGACGGGCUGGAACGGGCAAGCAAGGCCAAGACCUUGGGGCGGACAAGGUUUGCUUGGAAAGGGCUUGACAAGUCAGCAUCAGCAAAAUGGGGCGGCAUGGCACGGCAUGCGCGCCAACGACAGUCGGCAUGACAUUGGUCGGGACAGCUAAAUGCGGGCUAAGCUAAGGCAAAGCGGGAAUNNN
rnacentral:lncRNA from 1 species